UACCACUGCUACUGCUCCUUUAGAAACAAACAAUAGUGCUUCUUUAAAAAAAAAAACAACAAAGAACCUGAAACAAAACAACACAACAUCUUGCUGUCUUUGUUGUGGGAUAAUUUCAAGUGAAACUUGUUUUUAAAAACCAUAAUGUUACUAUAUAUAAUUUCUAUAAUUUCUGUCUCUGUUCAUUUAACUUGUUUACUACUACAUGGUCUUGAUUUUUUUUUUUACAACUCAGGUGACACUUCAGUCUGCAAUGUGUAGAAGUGAAAUAGGUUAAAAGAACUACAGUAUGAAGUUACCAGUCUCCAUGGACCAAACUGCAAACAUCUGAUGGCUUAUACAACAAGCUUGGAUAUGUGGCUUCCUAUAACUGCCUCAGACAGUGGAUUCGUGAUUUCCGUACCCAUCUGCAUAGACAUAAAUCAUACAGCAGAAGCAAUCCCCAAUGAGAGGGCGCCUGCAGCUGUGAACCUACAUGUGCAGUAGGAAACGUCAGCUUGCAGAUCCAGAAGAAAAGACAUGAACUGAAGACACUGGGAGUUUCUGCCCCAAGAUCUACUAUUUUCUGAACCAUGAAGAAGAGAGCUGUUUAUGUUUGUUACUACUUUUUAAUUCCUGUUGGCAGUGACAUGCAGACUAUGAAAUGUGUUAGUCUUGAUUUACAUAAAUCAGAAGGUUGUCAGCUUCUUACUUUUAGACGUCUAUGUUGCCUUAAAAUCCAAACUGAUGACCUCAUUGUAGCACAAAUAAAUAGUGUUGGUAAAUGUGUUAUAAAUUUCUUCUAUUACUGAACAUACAGAUGGAAAUGCAAAGUUAAAAUUUGUGAUAUUCUUUCUUACACACACUAUACUUUUUUAUUAGUCUUCCAUACUUUCCAUUAUCAAAGAAGUUUUGAUGUCUGUGUUUCACAAUGCUUAACCACAUUCACUAAACUUGGUCUUUUGUUUAAAAUAAAAUUUCUGUAUUGGUAUACCUCAUUGUAUCACUACAAACAUAAUUUUCAUCCCUCUAGCUGUCCACCAUAAUAAAACAAAAGAGAGGAAAUAUUUUAAUGUCUUAGUUCAAUGGUUAUUUCUCUAUGUCAUCAAGGAUCAGGGAUGGCAGACAUUGUAGGAAAUGUGAAGGGAAAUAGGGGAAAUAUUGUAAUUAUAAUCAGAAAAGUUCUGGAUAAUUUUAUGACUGCAAAGAGUGUGUCUAGUAAUUCACACUAGUAGCAUAGUAGGAUUACCCAGUUGAUUAGAUGUGGGAUACUUUUUAUUGGGGUUGGUUGUUCUGGUUUGUUGUGAGGCCUUAACUCCUUGUGAAGGGAAGUUACUGAUCUCAGUGCACUGAUGACUUAAUGAUUCGACUUUCUGGUUUACUGUACACAGUUUUUAAAAAACAUAAGCCCUAUUUUUUCUAGACUUCAGAAUACUUUUCCAUAAAGUGCUCAAUUUUCUUUGAAAUCCUAGAUUUGGUACAGGUCUAUCUAAGAUGAUUUGGGUUUGUCUGUCAGAGGUAUGGUUAUCAAUAUAGCAAAGUGAUUAUUUUUGGUACCACUAGUAUUUAACAUUUCACAAACUGAAUAUGUAAUUUUCAUUACAAAAGCAUUGCCGUUUCACCUUUCUGUAUUCAGAUUGUUCAAUGUUGAGCUACUAGUGGAUAGAUUUCCAUGUUCGGAUCUGUUUCUAGUGUUCUCCUCAGUGGAUACUAUCAGUUAUGUGAAAUCAUCCUGCCACUUUCGAAACAAACUACUUAUCUCCGGACUUUUUAAAAUAAAACUUUUUUUCUUUUAACCCUUAUAAAAGUGCCCUUUCCAAAUUCUUCCUCUUCUUGCUUUUAAAAUAAUGAAAAGACUAAAAGGACUAUGCUUUUAAUUAAAAGUCAUUUUCAAAUAACCUCAGAAGAUUGUUUCUAGAAAUCAAAACAUCUUUA